rnacentral:rRNA from 1 species
AGCGAACGCUGGCGGCAGGCCUAACACAUGCAAGUCGAACGAACCUUUCGGGGUUAGUGGCGGACGGGUGAGUAACACGUGGGAACGUGCCUUUAGGUUCGGAAUAACUCAGGGAAACUUGUGCUAAUACCGAAUGUGCCCUUCGGGGGAAAGAUUUAUCGCCUUUAGAGCGGCCCGCGUCUGAUUAGCUAGUUGGUUGAGGUAAUGGCUCACCAAGGCGACGAUCAGUAGCUGGUCUGAGAGGAUGAUCAGCCACAUUGGGACUGAGACACGGCCCAAACUCCUACGGGAGGCAGCAGUGGGGAAUCUUGCGCAAUGGGCGAAAGCCUGACGCAGCCAUGCCGCGUGAAUGAUGAAGGUCUUAGGAUUGUAAAAUUCUUUCACCGGGGACGAUAAUGACGGUACCCGGAGAAGAUGCCCCGGCUAACUUCGUG